CUCAGGAAUAUAUUAAAUUAUUAACACAAUCUACAAAUAAUUAAAAUUAAUACAAAGGAUAAAUAUAAUGCAUAUAUACUUUUGUUUGAAUACAACUUAUCAAUUAAACCUAUAUUAAAAGAUAAGUGGAUUGAAAACCUAAAAAAACUUUUGAAGGGAAUUUUACCUUUGAACAGCACAAAUCACUUGACAAAUGUGUUGCAUACUUGACACAGCUGUGGCCUGUGGACAAACAGUUCAGGCUAAAUUGCUAAUAACCCAGAAUUCUUGACAGUUUUAAGGAUUCUCAAUCGUAAACUCGGACUCUGCAUUCUUACUGUCACCUCGCACUUUCUUCGUUGAGGUUCCAACGAUAUUUUGACCAUCAACUUCGCCUGUUUGAGAUGUCUGAUACGUCACUACGUGAUGAAUUUAAAGCCUUUUCUUUCUUGUAUCUUUGACGCCCCGAAACAGUCCCUUUCCUCUUUCUUUUAUAUAAAGAUCUGGAGCUUUGUCCAACCAUUUGUUUAUGUUAAAAAGCAAAGAUUAAAGAGCGAAGAAUUUGAUUUCUUUUCACGUUCGAAAAUAGCAUUUCCGUUGAAAAUUUUGAUCACAAUUUUGGCAUGGCAAUGAGCGCCAGCAAUCACCAAAUUAUAACAGCACCAAUACUUUAUGUAGU